rnacentral:rRNA from 1 species
UACGUAGGUGACCAGCGUUGUCCGGAUUUACUGGGCGUAAAGAGCGCGCAGGCGGUCGUUCAAGUCGAGUGUGAAAGCCCCCGGCUCAACUGGGGAGGGUCAUUCGAUACUGAUCGACUGGAAGGCAGGAGAGGGAAGCGGAAUUCCCGGUGUAGUGGUGAAAUGCGCAGAUAUCAGGAGGAACACCGGUGGCGAAGGCGGUUCUCUGGGCAUGUCCUGACGCUGAGGAGCGAAAGUGUGGGGAGCGAACAGG